UAUCUCCUGCGGCGUUCGAUAAUAUGCCGGGUGUUUCCUGAACCUACUUAUACCCAGGGAGCUGUUUCUUGUAAUGGCGUGCAGGCCCGUCCCGAAUGGGAAGCCCGAUUUACAGACUUAGUUCCCACUUGAACUUCCGGUUCAAGGACGAAGGCAUAUAGCGGCGCAGGCGGGAGAUGC
rnacentral:other from 1 species